rnacentral:rRNA from 1 species
ACACCGGCAGCUCUAGUGGUAGCUGUUUUUAUUGGGCCUAAAGCGUUCGUAGCCGGUUUGAUAAGUCACUGGUGAAAUCCUGUAGCUUAACUGUGGGAAUUGCUGGUGAUACUGUUGAACUUGAGGUCGGGAGAGGUUAGCGGUACUCCCAGGGUAGAGGUGAAAUUCUGUAAUCCUGGGAGGACCACCUGUGGCGAAGGCGGCUAGCUGGAACGAACCUGACGGUGAGGGACGAAAGCUAGGGGCGCGAACCGGAUUAGAUACCCGGGUAGUCCUAGCCGUAAACGAUGCGGACUUGGUGUUGGGAUGGCUUUGAGCCGCUCCGGUGCCGAAGGGAAGCUGUUAAGUCCGCCGCCUGGGAAGUACGGUCGCAAGACUGAAACUUAAAUGAAUUGGCGGGG